rnacentral:rRNA from 1 species
UCCAAUCUGCUCACUGAAAAAUUAAAGAGCCGCAGUAUUUUGACUGUGCAAAGGUAGCAUAAUCAAUAGUUUUUUAAUUGAAAACUUGUAUGAAAGAUUAGACGAGAAAUUUAUUUUCUUUAUUUUAAAAAAUUAAAUUUUAAUUUUAAGUGAAAAUGCUUAAUUGUUUAUAAAAGACGAGAAGACCCUAUAGAUUUUUAUUAUUUAAUUAAAUUUUAUAACUUGAUUUAUUAAAAUAAUUUCAUUGGGGUGAUUUUGUAAUAUAACGAACUUAAUUUUUAAAAACCAUAAAUAAUUGAAAUUGUUGGUCUAAAAUUUUUAAAGAAAAGAUUAAAUUACCUUAGGGAUAACAGCGUAAUUUUUUUUAAGAGUUCAUAUCUAUAAAGAAGCUUGCGACCUCGAUGUUGAAUUAAGAUAAUAUAUUGAAGUAG